AAUGAACGUUGGCGGCGUGGAUUAGGCAUGCAAGUCGUGCGGAAAGGCUCCUUCGGGAGUACUCGAGCGGCGCAAGGGAGAGUAACGCGUGGAUAUCUACCCCCUGGACUGGGAUAGCGGCGGGAAACUGCCGGUAAUACCAGAUAAUGUCUGCGGACCAAAGGUGUGAGUCCGCCGGGGGAUGAGUUCGCGUCCUAGUAGCUAGUUGGUAGGGUAAUGGCCUACCAAGGCGAAGAUGGGUACCGGGUGUGAGAGCAUGGCCCGGCUCACUGGGACUGAGACACUGCCCAGACACCUACGGGUGGCUGCAGUCGAGAAUCUUCGGCAAUGGGCGCAAGCCUGACCGAGCGACGCCGCGUGCGGGAUGAAGGCCUUCGGGUUGUAAACCGCUGUCAGAGGGGAGGAAAUGCGUGAGAGCUCUCUCUCACGUUUGACCUAUCCUCAGAGGAAGUACGGGCUAAGUUCGUGCCAGCAGCCGCGGUAACAC
rnacentral:rRNA from 1 species